GAGAGCUGCGUUAGAGCGACCCGGCGAGCAGCCCCGGCGGCCAGGGCCGAGCCUCAGAGGGCAGCGCGGCCCCCAGGUGUGGCGGCCUUUCCCCUCCCCUGCACACUCCGAGCCGCCCCUCUCGCCUUCCCCCCGCGCUUUAUCUCCUCCUUCUGCCAAGGAAGUGGAGCAACUCCACCUGGCGUGCUAAAAAAAAAAAAAAAAAAAAAAAAAAAAAAGGAAAUCAAAUAACCCCACAAACCCGAGCUCUGCAGGCGCCGCAUGGCAGGAGCAGAGCCCUUGAGAUGGUUAAAAACACCCCUCUAAAUAAUUCAAGUGACCUGAAAUGCCUUCCUUUGGGAAAGAGAAGGGGAGGGCUGUGUUGGAGCCGCCAGGCUGGGAUCCUGGAGAGAGUGCUUAGAUGCAGCUAUUAAGCAUGCAGUCGUGAUGGCUCUUUGGCAAUUACUUCAUAACCAGUAAAUAGCAGCUCGGAGUGUAGACCCACAGCUGCAGAGCCAGCAGCCAUGACCUGGUGAGACCACGGCCCUGGGUGCUGGCAGCCCGGGAGGAACCUCAAGGGAAGUGAAAUCCAGAGGAAAAAGGAUAUGAGUUCCUUCUGUUCUCCAGACACCAAAAAUUAAGCUUAUUAAGGAGGGGAAAUAUGUUUUAUAUUAGUGUUUUACAUUAGCCUCGCAUAUAGAGAUAUCUAUAUGGAUGGAGAGACUUAGAUACAGACAUAAAGUACUUCAAAAUCUGUAUGUAUAUUUAGAAAAUAAGACCUCACCCGUCAGUGUUAUGCAGCCAUCUCUGGUAUGGGAUGUAACAGCUGUUUAACAUAGAAUAGCAACACUACAGUAUCAAGGAAGACAAGGGGUUGAGGACUGCCACACAGAGUUAAAAUAAAAUCACAGAUUUAGAGAGACAGCCUUACACAAGCUGAAAUGCAAUAUACAGAAAGAUUUCAGUCUCAAACUAGAGACUCAGUUUUACAUUUCUUGACAGAAAUGGUUUCUCCAACAUUGUCAUUAUAUGAAUUUUGACUGCAUCUUAAAUGAUGGAUUUGAAGAGAAAAUCCCCAAUUACUAGAUCUCUAAUACUAAUGAGUUAAAAGGCCCUUUGAAGGUUUCUGUCCAAAUACUGGCCUAAACUCCUCUUGCUUUGACUGUGAAUCAUAGUCUGAAGUAAAACAGCUGCGGGGAAUAAUAGCAAACAGAAAGAAGAAUUAGAUGGUGUGAAGCAGUUUUUUCCAUUUUUAAAUGUAAUGUUUACAUUUGGAGCUGGUGAAUAUUUGAGGAGUAUCAUCUUCCCAAACAACUUUCAAGUUUCUUUCAAAACAAAGGCAUUGUUUUCCACUUAGAGAUUCAUUUGUUUAAAAUCAGUUAGCAGUGGCACUUUCUGUUGCUUUUGGGAAAAUAGUUUCUCCAGGUAUUGAAUUCUGUCUUUUUCUCAUUUUUGUAACAUCCCAUAUCAGUUAACACCAAUAUUUAUAAACAUAUUCAGUAAUUGCAAAAGCUUACGAUGCAGACAGAAAUAUUAAUUUUUCACUCCACUUAGACAAAUACUUGGAUUGUUCAUUGUAAGGCUCAAAGCUAGGACUGAUACUCUUAUGCAAUAUCAAGACUACUGAUAAUGAAUAGUGAUAACUUUUUGAUUAAAUAUUGUAUCACAAUGAUCCCUGAAUGAAAGGGCAAACUAAGUAUAUUACUUAAUCAUUAAAAACACCAUACUUUUUCCA